rnacentral:rRNA from 1 species
UACAGAGGGUGCGAGCGUUGUCCGGAAUCACUGGGCGUAAAGGGCGCGUAGGUGGCGGCCCAAGUCCAUGGUGAAAGCUCGAUGCUCAACAUCGAGUCGGCCACGGAUACUGGGUUGCUCGAGCACUGUAGGGGCAGAUGGAAUUCCGGGUGUAGCGGUGGAAUGCGUAGAGAGUCCGGAAGAACACCGGUGGCGAAGGCGGUCUGCUGGGCAGUUGCUGACACUGAGGCGCGACAGCGUGGGGAGCAAACAGG